UGGCUCUCUGAUGACUGACUCUUGUUU
rnacentral:piRNA from 1 species